CACGUAGGCAUCAAGCGUUGUCCGGAUUUAUUGGACGUAAAGAGCUCGUAGGCGGCUCAGUUAGUCGGGUGUGAAAACUCAGGGCUUAACCCUGAGACGCCACUCGAUACUGCUGGGCUAGAAUUCGGUAGGGGAGUGGGGAAUUCCUGGUGUAGCGGUGAAAUGCGCAGAUAUCAGGAGGAACACCGGUGGCGAAGGCGCCACUCUGGGCCGACAUUGACGCUGAGGAGCGAAAGCGUGGGUAGCAAACAGG
rnacentral:rRNA from 1 species